CGGACGGGUGAGUAACGCGUGAGAAUCUACCUUCAGGUUCGGGACAACCACUGGAAACGGUGGCUAAUACCGAAUGUGCCGAGAGGUGAAAGGCUUGCUGCCUGAAGAAGAGCUUGCGUCUGAUUAGCUAGUUGGUGUGGUAAAGGCGCACCAAGGCGACGAUCAGUAGCUGGUCUGAGAGGAUGAUCAGCCACACUGGGACUGAGACACGGCCCAGACUCCUACGGGAGGCAGCAGUGGGGAAUUUUCCGCAAUGGGCGAAAGCCUGACGGAGCAAUACCGCGUGAGGGAGGAAGGCUCUUGGGUUGUAAACCUCUUUUCUCAGGGAAGAAAAAAAUGACGGUACCUGAGGAAUAUGCAUCGGCUAACUCCGUGCCAGCAGCCGCGGUAAUACGGAGGAUGCAAGCGUUAUCCGGAAUGAUUGGGCGUAAAGGGUCCGCAGGUGGCAUUGUUUGUCUGCUGUUAAAGAGUUUGGCUCAACCAAAUAAGAGCAGUGGAAACUACAAAGCUAGAGUAUGGUCGGGGCAGAGGGAAUUCCUGGUGUAGCGGUGAAAUGCGUAGAUUUCAGGAAGAACCCCGGUGGCGAAGGCGCUCUGCUAGGCCAAAACUGACACUGAGGGACGAAAGCUAGGUGAGCGAUUGGGAUUAGAUACCCCAGUUGU
rnacentral:rRNA from 1 species